UACGUAGGUGGCAAGCGUUGUCCGGAUUUACUGGGCGUAAAGAGCGCGCAGGCGGUCGUGCAAGUCGCGUGUGAAAGCCCCCGGCUCAACUGGGGAGGGUCACGCGAUACUGCUCGACUCGAAGGCAGGAGAGGGAAGUGGAAUACCCGGUGGAGCGGUGAAAUGCGUAGAGAUCGGGUGGAACACCAGCGGCGAAGGCGGCAUCCUGGCCCUGUACUGACGCUGAGGCGCGAUAGCGUGGGGAGCAAACGGG
rnacentral:rRNA from 1 species